rnacentral:rRNA from 1 species
UGGGGAAUAUUGCACAAUGGGCGCAAGCCUGAUGCAGCCAUGCCGCGUGUAUGAAGAAGGCCUUCGGGUUGUAAAGUACUUUCAGUCGGGAGGAAGGUGUCAAGGUUAAUAACCUUGGCAAUUGACGUUACCGACAGAAGAAGCACCGGCUAACUCCGUGCCAGCAGCCGCGGUAAUACGGAGGGUGCAAGCGUUAAUCGGAAUUACUGGGCGUAAAGCGCACGCAGGCGGUUGAUUGAGUCAGAUGUGAAAUCCCCGGGCUUAACCCGGGAAUUGCAUCUGAUACUGGUCAGCUAGGGUCUUGUAGAGGGGGGUAGAAUUCCAUGUGUAGCGGUGAAAUGCGUAGAGAUGUGGAGGAAUACCGGUGGCGAAGGCGGCCCCCUGGACGAAGACUGACGCUCAGGUGCGAAAGCGUGGGGAGCAAACAGG